AAGCUCGUAGUUGAAUUUCGGGAUUAGUACGUCGGUCGUGCCUUAGGUACGUACUGGUGUUACUGGUUCCUACCUUCUGACGAACCAUCAUGUCAUUAAUUUGGUGUGGUGGGGAAUCAGGACAGUUACUUUGAAAAAAUUAGAGUGUUUAAAGCAGGCUCGCGCUUGAAUACAUUAGCAUGGAAUAAUGAAAUAGGACGUUGAUCCUAUUUUGUUGGUUUCUAGGGUUGACGUAAUGAUUAAUAGGGAUAGUUGGG
rnacentral:rRNA from 1 species